rnacentral:rRNA from 1 species
AGAGUUUGAUCCUGGCUCAGAUUGAACGCUGGCGGCAUGCCUUACACAUGCAAGUCGAACGGCAGCACGAGAGCUUGCUCUUGGUGGCGAGUGGCGAACGGGUGAGUAAUAUAUCGGAACGUACCCUAGAGUGGGGGAUAACGUAGCGAAAGUUACGCUAAUACCGCAUACGAUCUACGGAUGAAAGUGGGGGAUCGCAAGACCUCAUGCCCAUGGAGCGGCCGAUAUCUGAUUAGCUAGUUGGUGGGGUAAAAGCUCACCAAGGCGACGAUCAGUAGCUGGUCUGAGAGGACGACCAGCCACACUGGAACUGAGACACGGUCCAGACUCCUACGGGAGGCAGCAGUGGGGAAUUUUGGACAAUGGGCGCAAGCCUGAUCCAGCAAUGCCGCGUGAGUGAAGAAGGCCUUCGGGUUGUAAAGCUCUUUUGUCAGGGAAGAAACGGUGGACUCUAAUACAGAUCACUAAUGACGGUACCUGAAGAAUAAGCACCGGCUAACUACGUGCCAGCAGCCGCGGUAAUACGUAGGGUGCAAGCGUUAAUCGGAAUUACUGGGCGUAAAGCGUGCGCAGGCGGUUGUGCAAGACAGAUGUGAAAUCCCCGGGCUCAACCUGGGAAUUGCAUUUGUGACUGCACGGCUAGAGUGUGUCAGAGGGGGGUAGAAUUCCACGUGUAGCAGUGAAAUGCGUAGAGAUGUGGAGGAAUACCGAUGGCGAAGGCAGCCCCCUGGGAUAACACUGACGCUCAUGCACGAAAGCGUGGGGAGCAAACAGGAUUAGAUACCCUGGUAGUCCACGCCCUAAACGAUGUCUACUAGUUGUCGGGUCUUAAUUGACUUGGUAACGCAGCUAACGCGUGAAGUAGACCGCCUGGGGAGUACGGUCGCAAGAUUAAAACUCAAAGGAAUUGACGGGGACCCGCACAAGCGGUGGAUGAUGUGGAUUAAUUCGAUGCAACGCGAAAAACCUUACCUACCCUUGACAUGUCUGGAAUCCUUGAGAGAUCAGGGAGUGCUCGAAAGAGAAUCAGAACACAGGUGCUGCAUGGCUCUCGUCAGCUCGUGUCGUGAGAUGUUGGGUUAAGUCCCGCAACGAGCGCAACCCUUGUCAUUAGUUGCUACGAAAGGGCACUCUAAUGAGACUGCCGGUGACAAACCGGAGGAAGGUGGGGAUGACGUCAAGUCCUCAUGGCCCUUAUGGGUAGGGCUUCACACGUCAUACAAUGGUACAUACAGAGGGCCGCCAACCCGCGAGGGGGAGCUAAUCCCAGAAAGUGUAUCGUAGUCCGGAUUGUAGUCUGCAACUCGACUACAUGAAGUUGGAAUCGCUAGUAAUCGCGGAUCAGCAUGUCGCGGUGAAUACGUUCCCGGGUCUUGUACACACCGCCCGUCGCACCAUGGGAGCGGGUUUCACCAGAAGUGGGUAGCCUAACCGCAAGGAGGGCGCUCACCACGGUGGGAUUCGUGACUGGGGUGAAGUCGUAACAAGGUA